rnacentral:rRNA from 1 species
UACGUAGGCAGCGAGCGUUGUUCGGAGUUACUGGGCGUAAAGGGUGUGUAGGCGGUUGUUUAAGUUUGGUGUGAAAUCUCCCCGGCUCAACUGGGAGGGUGCGCCGAAUACUGAAAUGACUCGAGUGCGGGGAGAGGAAAAGUGGAAUUCCUGGUGUAGCGGUGAAAAUGCGUAGAUAUCAGGAGGAACACCGGUGGUGUAGACGGCUUUCUGGACCGUAACUGACGCUGAGACACGAAAGCGUGGGGUAGCAAACAGG